CACGAAUUAAACAUCUAACUUUUACUUUUGCUAAAUUGAUCAACUCUAAACUUCCUGUGUCUAAGCAGGUCUCCAUGUAAUGCCUCAUGUCUGAAGUUUGCAGUGAAAAGAGGAAAAAUCUGUCUUGGUCCUCCAGGUGAACACCAAACGCCAAUAUACGGUUCCAAAGGCAGGCGGCCAACCUUUGGAACUGCUGAGGUAGUUCAUGAUCCAGAACACUGCCAACUUGUUUAUCAUCAGUCAUCUUCUUCAACACAUGAAGAUUGUCACAUUUAACAGGUACUCAAGUUUCCACGUCUGGCCCCCCAACAUGUGUGCAGCCGCCAGUAGUACAGCUCAGUGGAACAGAUGGUCUUAUAUUGGAAAGAGCUUGUCUCCAUUAGGUGCCAUGCCUCUCUCUAACGCAGUCAUUCAAAGCUGCAAAGACUUUUCCAAACAUAAUAAUGACAACGGGACACUAAAUGAAUCUAAGUGGAAAGCUGCAAUAAAACAUUUCCUUAUUCUGUCUAUACAAUGCGAGUUGAAGAGCUCAUCAUUUAAAAAAAGAGGGGAAGGGAUACUCGUGGCUGUCCAUGUUUAUAGUAUGUCGCCAUGAAGGUGCAUAAUUUAGCAAAAUAAACAUCACUCUACAACCGUUUUUUAAAUAUUUUGUUGCAAAGCGAGGCAGAGUCUUCUCGUCAAACUAAUCCACUGACUAGUGUCGAACAGAAGAAAUGACAAAGAGCAGCGAUACAGAAUGGAUGAAGUACAGCACAGUGAUUUAACAACAACAUAUU